rnacentral:rRNA from 1 species
GGGGAAUAUUGCACAAUGGGCGCAAGCCUGAUGCAGCGACGCCGCGUGCGGGAUGGAGGCCUUCGGGUUGUAAACCGCUUUUGAUCGGGAGCAAGCCCUGCGGGGUGAGUGUACCUUUCGAAUAAGCACCGGCUAACUACGUGCCAGCAGCCGCGGUAAUACGUAGGGUGCAAGCGUUAUCCGGAAUUAUUGGGCGUAAAGGGCUCGUAGGCGGUUCGUCGCGUCCGGUGUGAAAGCCCAUCGCUUAACGGUGGGUCUGCGCCGGGUACGGGCGGGCUGGAGUGCGGUAGGGGAGACUGGAAUUCCCGGUGUAACGGUGGAAUGUGUAGAUAUCGGGAAGAACACCAAUGGCGAAGGCAGGUCUCUGGGCCGUCACUGACGCUGAGGAGCGAAAGCGUGGGGAGCGAAC